UACUUAUAUAGCUUAAUAAAGAGCAUUACAUUGAAGCUGUAAGGGUGGUAAAUUUACCUUUAAGU
rnacentral:tRNA from 1 species